CCACCAAAUGUUGCUCGUUCUUUUUGCAAAUCGCCACUUUUGUUCAUUCGUUGUCUUUCGUUCGCCGCGAAUGGUUAAAUUCGUGGAAGUUUUCGAGGUUGUCGGAGAAAAAUAGUCGUUCGCAUUGAACGCAUUUAUUUAAAACGCAUUAAGGAAUUUUACACGAGAUCGAGCAGCAUUUUUACUAAAACACGCACCUAUCUGACCGUCCAUCGUUUCGUGAUAAAUUUGUAAAUAUCGGUAAAGAGCAAAGUGAAAAAUCAACUACA